UUUAAAGAGAGUUUGAUCCUGGCUCAGGACGAACGCUGGCGGCGUGCCUAAUACAUGCAAGUCGAACGAACGGACGAAGAGCUUGCUCUUCCAAAGUUAGUGGCGGACGGGUGAGUAACACGUGGGCAACCUGCCUGUAAGUUGGGGAUAACUCCGGGAAACCGGGGCUAAUACCGAAUGAUAGAGUGUGGCGCAUGCCACGCUUUUGAAAGAUGGUUUCGGCUAUCGCUUACAGAUGGGCCCGCGGUGCAUUAGCUAGUUGGUAGGGUAAUGGCCUACCAAGGCAACGAUGCAUAGCCGACCUGAGAGGG
rnacentral:rRNA from 1 species